GACCGGCAGCCGCAGUGUUCGCGCAGCCCCCUCGCUCCCCGCCCGUUCCCGCUGCCCCGCGCGGGGCUCCCACGGCCGCACGUCGGGCGCGGGGCUCCGGUUGCGGCACGGCGGGGCUCGCCGAGCUCCCACCAGCGCUAUCCCAGUCCUCCCGGCCCGGCUUUCUCCCCAUCCCCGGCCGAGCCCCGCGCAGCUCCCGCCCGUCGCAGCCCGGGGACCGUCGGGGCGGCGGCACCGUGGCGGGGACUCACCACCACGAGGAGUCGGCGCGGGGCGUCAGGGCGAGCAGCAGCAGGACGAGGGGCAGGCAAAGGCGCGGGGCUGUGCCCGCCGUCCGAGGGAAGGCUCCGCACUCCGCACGCCCGGGGGCCAAGGCAAUCCCAGGAGACGCUUCCAGGAGAUAACCUGGAAGGCUUUGGGGUGGCUGAUUCUGAGUUGGAAGAGAAACAGGUCUCAAAGUGUUGUGCAAAGACAGAACUCCAUCUCUCUUGCCAAGUGACCCCCUGGGAACCUGCCUGCCAGAAGGAGAAAUGGCACAAGAGGAAAUACAUCUUCCCAGUCUGGAGAGAGGAGAAAGGGCUUGGAAUCCCAGCCCAUAAACAGCAGCGUUGCUGAGAGCAGAGUGCUGACGGGACCAGCUGGGCAGCCAUCACCCAUUUUCCUCAGUGGAUAAGAACAAGAGGCUUGGAACAUCUUUCUUGUGAGUAAAGGCUGUGAGACCUGGAGCUGUGCAGCCUGGAGAAGACUGAAGGGAGACCUCAUCAGCACUUGUAAGUACCUAAAGGGUGGGUGUCAGGAGGAUGGGGCAAUAGGUUUUUUUCCUGUAGCAUCCAGCAAUAGGACAAGGGGUGAUGGACAGCAGCUGGAACACAAAACGUUCCCCUUAACCACAAGCAAAAACUCCUUUGCUGUGAGAGUGAGGGAGUGUGGGGACCUGGAAUGUCUUCUUGGGACAGCAGACGGGUGCUGGAGCCUUCCUCCGGUGCUGAGCUCCUGCUGGGGAUGGAGCAGCGAGACAGCUCCUGCCGAGAGAGCUGGGAACGGCUGCUGCAGUGGGACAGCGACGGAAACCCGCAGCUCUCCUGGUGAGAUGGGCUGUGACCAGGCACCCCCUGCGGGAGGGGUACCCUGGGAGGGGGAUGCCGUGUGAUGAGGGAUGCCGUGUGAUGAGGGAUGCCCUGUGAUAGGGAUGCCCUGAGCCAUGGCUGCUCUGCCAGGGGGAUGCCCUGUGAUGAGGGAUGCCCUGUGACAGGGAUGCCCUGAGCCAUGGCUGCUCUGCCAGGGGGAUGCCCUGUGAUGAGGGAUGCCGAGUGAUGAGGGAUGCCCUGUGACUGGGAUGCUCUGAGCCACGGCUGCUCUGCCAGGGGGAUGCCCUGUGAUGAGGGAUGCCGUGUGAUGAGGGAUGCGCUGUGACUGGGAUGCUCUGAGCCACGGCUGCUCUGCCAGGGGGAUGCCGUGUGAUGAGGGAUGCGCUGUGAUGAUGGAUGCCGUGUGGUAAAGGAUGCCCUGUGACUGGGAUGCCCUGAGCCGUGGCCGCUCUGCCAGGGGGAUGCCGUGUGAUGAGGGAUGCCGUGUGAUGAGGGAUGCCCUGAGCCAUGGCUGCUCUGCCAGGGGGAUGCCCUGUGAUGAAGGAUGCUGUGUGAUGAGGGAUGCCCUGUGACUGGGAUGCUCUGAGCCGUGGUCGCUCUGCCAGGGGGAUGCCGUGUGAUGAGGGAUGCCCUGUGACUGGGAUGCUCUGAGCCGUGGCCGCUCUGCCAGGGGGAUGCCCUGUGAUGAGGGAUGUGCUGUGAUGAAGGAUGCUGUGUGAUGAGGGAUGCGCUGUGACUGGGAUGCUCUGAGCCGUGGCCGCUCUGCCAGGGGGAUGCCGUGUGAGGGGCAGCCGCAGCCCUGCUCUCCCCUCCCCGGCAAACGCGGCCUCGGGACGAAGCGGCCGCACACAGGCAGGAGGGAGCAGUCCCGGCCCCUCCCGGCCCCUCCCGCUGCCUCCGGCCCCUCCCCGGUGCGUCCCGGUGCCUCGGGGCCGGUUCCCGGGCUCAGGGCUCCCUCUCGCGGCCCCGUCCCCCAGCCCAGGUGCCGGCUCUGGCCGCAGCCUCAGCCCCGGCUGCCGCGGGCUCAGCGCAGAGCAGCGUUCCUGGGCGGCUGCGGGGUUUGGCCAGUGGCACGGCACGGCCCUGAAACGCCAUCAAGCCUGAAGAGGUGAACGAAGAGCUUCCUCCCAAGUGGCUGCAAAACACGUUCAGCUGAGCUGAUGUAAAGAAAUCGCGUCGGUAGUGAGGAUUGUACCCGGGAGUCAGGGCAGCUGGGGGCUCUGCCUGGCGCUGGGCUGGGGGGCCGGUGGGUGCUCACAUGAGCUAUGGAGAGGUCAGUGCCCUCCCAGGGCUGGGACGGGAGGCAGUGACACAGCUGAGCUGUGCUCUUCCAAGGCUGAGACAUUUCCCAGGAGAAAUGGAUCCCCCUGGCACAGGGAGUUCCCUCCCCAGCCCAGGAUGGGCAUUGGUGUAACACCCCCAACAGGGGAGCAGCUCAGAACCCUGACACUGGGGCAAAGGGCUUUGACUUUCUAGGGCAAUUGUUUUCACUUAGAAGUGCCCAAAAGCCUGAGUUGCCCCAGGAAACCUCCUGAGGGGCAUCACCAGCACUCUCAGGGCUGGGAGCAGGAUGAACACUCCAGCCCAGCCCACACUGCUCCAGGAAAUUUGCUUUCUUCUGCCCUUUAAAACCUGGAUGAGUUCCUGUGUGACCUGCUCCAGCUGGUCCUGCUCUGGCAGGGGACUUGCACUGGAUGUGUGGAGCCUCAUUUUUGCCCCUGAGCCCUGAGGUACAACCUCCUAGGAGGGCUCCUGCCCCUCAGCCUCAGCCCACACUGUCCUGGCUCCAAACACCUUCCUUAAGCAAUUUGCACAUCUGAAAAAUAAACUCCUUUAUUGAUAAUAUGAAUUGUUUAACAUGUUUAAUGCCAUCAGCUAUAAAACCCCCCCCAUGAUUAAAGACUUCAGCUUGGUA